rnacentral:rRNA from 1 species
GGGACACGUGGUAUCCUGUCUGAAUAUGGGGGGACCAUCCUCCAAGGCUAAAUACUCCUGACUGACCGAUAGUGAACCAGUACCGUGAGGGAAAGGCGAAAAGAACCCCGGCGAGGGGAGUGAAAAAGAACCUGAAACCGUGUACGUACAAGCAGUGGGAGCACGCUUAGGCGUGUGACUGCGUACCUUUUGUAUAAUGGGUCAGCGACUUAUAUUCUGUAGCAAGGUUAACCGAAUAGGGGAGCCGAAGGGAAACCGAGUCUUAACUGGGCGUUAAGUUGCAGGGUAUAGACCCGAAACCCGGUGAUCUAGCCAUGGGCAGGUUGAAGGUUGGGUAACACUAACUGGAGGACCGAACCGACUAAUGUUGAAAAAUUAGCGGAUGACUUGUGGCUGGGGGUGAAAGGCCAAUCAAACCGGGAGAUAGCUGGUUCUCCCCGAAAGCUAUUUAGGUAGCGCCUCGUGAAUUCAUCUCCGGGGGUAGAGCACUGUUUCGGCAAGGGGGUCAUCCCGACUUACCAACCCGAUGCAAACUGCGAAUACCGGAGAAUGUUAUCACGGGAGACACACGGCGGGUGCUAACGUCCGUCGUGAAGAGGGAAACAACCCAGACCGCCAGCUAAGGUCCCAAAGUCAUGGUUAAGUGGGAAACGAUGUGGGAAGGCCCAGACAGCCAGGAUGUUGGCUUAGAAGCAGCCAUCAUUUAAAGAAAGCGUAAUAGCUCACUGGUCGAGUCGGCCUGCGCGGAAGAUGUAACGGGGCUAAACCAUGCACCGAAGCUGCGGCAGCGACGCUUAUGCGUUGUUGGGUAGGGGAGCGUUCUGUAAGCCUGCGAAGGUGUGCUGUGAGGCAUGCUGGAGGUAUCAGAAGUGCGAAUGCUGACAUAAGUAACGAUAAAGCGGGUGAAAAGCCCGCUCGCCGGAAGACCAAGGGUUCCUGUCCAACGUUAAUCGGGGCAGGGUGAGUCGACCCCUAAGGCGAGGCCGAAAGGCGUAGUCGAUGGGAAACAGGUUAAUAUUCCUGUACUUGGUGUUACUGCGAAGGGGGGACGGAGAAGGCUAUGUUGGCCGGGCGACGGUUGUCCCGGUUUAAGCGUGUAGGCUGGUUUUCCAGGCAAAUCCGGAAAAUCAAGGCUGAGGCGUGAUGACGAGGCACUACGGUGCUGAAGCAACAAAUGCCCUGCUUCCAGGAAAAGCCUCUAAGCAUCAGGUAACAUCAAAUCGUACCCCAAACCGACACAGGUGGUCAGGUAGAGAAUACCAAGGCGCUUGAGAGAACUCGGGUGAAGGAACUAGGCAAAAUGGUGCCGUAACUUCGGGAGAAGGCACGCUGAUAUGUAGGUGAAGUCCCUCGCGGAUGGAGCUGAAAUCAGUCGAAGAUACCAGCUGGCUGCAACUGUUUAUUAAAAACACAGCACUGUGCAAACACGAAAGUGGACGUAUACGGUGUGACGCCUGCCCGGUGCCGGAAGGUUAAUUGAUGGGGUCAGCGCAAGCGAAGCUCUUGAUCGAAGCCCCGGUAAACGGCGGCCGUAACUAUAACGGUCCUAAGGUAGCGAAAUUCCUUGUCGGGUAAGUUCCGACCUGCACGAAUGGCGUAAUGAUGGCCAGGCUGUCUCCACCCGAGACUCAGUGAAAUUGAACU